UGCAUGUCUAAGUAUAAGCCUUUACACGGUGAAACUGCGAAUGGCUCAUUAAAACAGUUAUCGUCUCCUUGACAGUUCCUACUACAUGGAUACCUAUGGUAAUUCUAGAGCUAAUACAUGCCUACAGACCCGACUACGGAAGGGUUGUGCUUAUUAGAUACUACACCAACUGCUUCGGCAGUUUUGCUGACUCAUAGUACCCAGCGAAUCGCAUGCUUCGGCGGCGAUGUGUCAUCCGAGUUUCUGACCUAUCAGCUUUCGACGGUAGGGUAUUGGCCUACCGUUGCUUUGACGGGUAACGGAGAAUUAGGGUUCGAUUCCGGAGAGGGAGCCUGCGAAACGGCUACCACAUCUAAGGAAGGCAGCAGGCGCGCAAAUUACCCAAUCCUGACUCAGGGAGGUAGUGACAAGAAAUAACAAUACUGGACCCUUUGGGUCUAGUAAUUGGAAUGAGAACAAUUUAAAACCCUUAUCGAGUAUCAAUUGGAGGGCAAGUCUGGUGCCAGCAGCCGCGGUAAUUCCAGCUCCAAUAGCGUAUAUUAAAGUUGUUGCGGUUAAAAAGCUCGUAGUUGGAUUUCUGCAUGAAAGGACCGGUCCGCCCUUUGGGCGAGCUACUGGUACCUCUCGUGCAUCUUUCUGAGGAGGUGUUCUUCACUUAAUUGUGAGGGCGCAAGACUCAGAACUUUUACUUUGAGGAAAUGAGAGUGUUUCAAGCAGGCAAAUGCCUUGAAUACGUUAGCAUGGAAUAAUAGCAUCGGACCAUCGUCCAGCUGUUGGUGUCUGGGCGAAGGUAAAGGUGAAUAGGGAUUGUUGGGGGCAUUCGUAUUUAACUGUCAGAGGUGAAAUUCUUGGAUUUGUUGA
rnacentral:rRNA from 1 species